GUUCUUCUUUCUACCUUUCUAAGAUUCCACCAUGUUGCUUGUUUAGUUCAACCAGUGCUGAUAGGGACACGUUUGCACUUGUCUCUCAGUGAACAUUCGCAAGAGAUUUUCUAGGCCUCCAGGCAGAAGCCGCUGCUGACGGGGAGAGUCUGCUGGAGGAAGUCGCAUGGCAGAUGCCAGAGGACCAGCCUGGGAGAGCCUUUCUAGCAACCAGGACACCUGCUGCAGUGCCACGCUUUCUCCAGGAAACAAGGACACCUGCACGGGUGCCCACACGAGAGUCGGCGACCAGCCUCGGCGGUGGGGUUCCUGCAACGCGUGUUCCUGCUGGGGUUCUCCUUUCUGCUGUUCCGAGCUACAGUGCGGAUCACGCUCCCCAUACGUGGAGUCCAGGGACAGCACAGCCCGGGGACUGCCCAACCAGCCAGGAAGUCUGGCUUUCAGAGAACUGGGAAGACCAUCUUCCACUUUAUCCCAUCUGGGAGAAUGUAAACAUGGAUUCCACUGUCUCAGACAGUAAGACGAUUCCCAGUCUUUUCCUGUUCCUCCUCUAGAUGCUGUCUUGGACGCCGUGAAGUCUGCCGAUGGCUGUUUCAGAGCCGUUAGGAUGGUGAAGUGAGACAAUGUGAAUGGAGUGUUUUGUGAGGCUCAGUGCUGCAUAAAUGCUAGCCAUUAUCUAAUAGCAAGAAUUCCUUGAAAUGUUUCUUUCUCUCAAAUUUAUGAAAAGAUUAGAAAAUUGUUCUAAAAAUUAAAAAUGCUUCUGGUCACAGCGGCUUACAUGAUGGCAGUGAAAAUGUGCAGAUUCAUAGGUCCCACUGCGUGCACUUGGCAUGGAGAGAACGAAAUGUGGAGGCCAGCGAUACCAAGAACACCCCUGUGAGCCGCGCUGGGUGCAGCCCCCACGGCCGGCGGGCAGUGACACCGC
rnacentral:lncRNA from 1 species